UCUCUCCGUACUCUAGAAUUACAUCUUAUUACUCUUCAAUCCAUAAAUAAUCUUUUGGAUUCAUCAACAUAAAUGUAUACCUAUGACUUCUACCGUUUUUGAGGAAACCAAUGUGAGUCAUGUUUCUCUUCACUACUUCCUAUUCACAUGUUGUCCAGAAAUCCCUGCAACUUAAGAGAUGGUAAUGUAAAUUGUUCAUGCAAUAGCUCAUUGCAAAACGGAGCUGCCUUAAACCAACAAUACAGUUCAGCUAUGGUUCAGCCUUUUCAGUACAUUAAGGGACGUUGGAUCAUCAACAUUUCCAGAUUAAACAGCUACUUCACAGCUAAUAAUAAAGUGAUGGCUAGUUGUAUUUUUUCUGUUACUCCGAAAAAAUCAUCUAUUCUUUUCGAAUUUUUUAGCAAACUGAAAUCGUUGGAAGACCUACUGCUCGUUGACCAUCCUCACAAGGUCGCCCUGCGACCCUCGAAGGUAUUACUGGUAUUACUAAUCAAAAACAAGUUCCCUUGACUUACUAUCGUCAUGCGAUAAUCAAAUUGUUGUUCCUCGACGCUCAUGCAGAGGACUCCAGGUGAAACUAGAUCCCUCGUAUUCGUCAUUUGUCACAUAACCAGAACUUCGAUAAGUGUUAAUUGAAAAGUAUAAUCGUUCUUAUUAUAAACCUCGUGAUUCCGCUGGCCGUAUCAUAAUGUAAUAUAUUUACGAUUAUAGUGAUUGUUGACAAAGCUUCUGGGUUGAAAUUACUGGGAUGACCCACCGGAACAAAAAAACGACCGCGUGAAGCAAGUCAGUCUCAAGUUCAACAGUUGAGAAGUAGUUACGUGGGAAGGAGAACACAUCGCAGUAUAAGGAGUAGAACGUGACUAUACGUUUACUAUUAGCGAGCUCCAAAAUGUCUUCCUCAAACAAGAAACGCAAUCCAUUGACGCAUUUCGCGUCCAUCGACGUCAGCGGUACAGUUUAACGGAGAUUCCAAUAGUAUACGGUAUAUAAAAGCUGCUGACGGUUAUUAUCGGCUCAUUGUCGGUCCUGAUUCCGCAACUUGAGCGAGGUAGUUCUCUUCUAUCCUGCGGCACGAUACGAACUCUGAACAACUCCCAGGUUCGAAAAUCAAAGUCAAAAUAAAUGCAUUGUUGAUUGUUUUUGAUACAACAUAACACAUAAUUAUGGGAAUGAUGAAGAAAAUUUGGGGAUGUAUCUGUUGUAUAAUAGACAAUAAUUUUAUUGACAAAAUUGAAUGAAAACUUAUUUAGGUAUCAUAUUCGGGCUAGGAAGCGAUCAGGAUAUUACGAACAACAGAUGUACAAAUUCCAGUUUAUUAAUAUACAUACAAUGAAUGGUACUUCGGACUAUAAAACUUAAUAAUGGGAAUCAUUUUUUGAUGAUGGGAACAACGUACAUGAGUAACAAAAAAUACUGUUGAACUUGUUUGGGAAUUUGGAAGAACUUUUUUCAGUAAACAAUCGAGUUUAUAUCGUUUUUUUGCUGGCGAGUGAUCGAUGGUGCAGAUUGUUGCUUCAGAUGCUUACGUCGUCUGCGAGUUCUUUGACUCCAUGCUGAAGUUACAUAAUGCGCAGUAAACCCGGAAGUUUAGUACCAAUAACGGGAACCCCAACCACCACCCCAUCCGCCACCCCAAUAUCCGUGACCUCUACCACCCCAUCCGUAUCCUCUGCCACCCCAGCCUCCGUGAUAAUGGCCCCAUCUCGGUCUGUAGUAUCCGUAGUGUCUAGAAUUCAAAAAAUUUCAACAAAUCAAUUGAGCUGCUCCAAGUUUUUUGAAGCCAAAAGAAAUAUUCCAUUUCUUGGGUCAAGCUUAGAGAAACUGUAAACUACUUAUACCCCCAAUGCGAAGCUUCGGCUUCCAGAUCACUUUUUUCCCCAAUGUUAGGGUCUGCGCCUUCAGGACCGGGAAUAGGCUGUUCCGGUGACGGUCCAACUUCUGGUGCUAUUUGAGACCCCAGAUCGAUCGCAGGUCCUGCGGAUACGCAGAUAAAAACUGCGAAGAGCAAUA